rnacentral:rRNA from 1 species
GAACUUUUCCAGAGAUGGAUUGGUGCCUUCGGGAACUCUGAGACAGGUGCUGCAUGGCUGUCGUCAGCUCGUGUUGUGAAAUGUUGGGUUAAGUCCCGCAACGAGCGCAACCCUUUAUCCUUUUGUUGCCAGCGGUUAGGCCGGGAACUCAAAGGAGACUGCCAGUGAUAAACUGGAGGAAGGUGGGGAUGACGUCAAGUCAUCAUGGCCCUUACGAGUAGGGCUACACACGUGCUACAAUGGCGCAUACAAAGAGAAGCGACCUCGCGAGAGCAAGCGGACCUCAUAAAGUGCGUCGUAGUCCGGAUUGGAGUCUGCAACUCGACUCCAUGAAGUCGGAAUCGCUAGUAAUCGUGGAUCAGAAUGCCACGGUGAAUACGUUCCCGGGCCUUGUACACACCGCCCGUCACACCAUGGGAGUGGGUUGCAAAAGAAGUAGGUAGCUUAACCUUCGGGAGGGCGCUUACCACUUUGUGAUUCAUGACUGGGGUGAAGUCGUAACAAGGUAGGCGUAGUGCU